rnacentral:lncRNA from 1 species
UUCUUUCUUUCUCUAUAUCGCCUAUAUGUCUGUCUCUUCUAUAUUUCUAUUUUAUUUUUAUUUCCACCUAUAAUAAUAAUAAUAAUAAGGUUAUGCCUCGUUUUAAAUAUUGUAACUCCCGAUCACCGCUACCCUUUCCGAUUGAUCUGAGUCUCAUAACAUAUGUCAGGGCUCUGCUCGACUAAGUUGUUGGGAUUCUAUCUCGGGACUUCGGGACAAGGUUGAAUUAGGGGUACUAUACUUAACACGAGUGCAUUAUAUAUUUUAAUAGCCCAAAAGUUAUACCCAAAAUUUAUACCAGGAGAUUUUCUAGUUAAACUCUAAAGUUACAAAGUGGGCCCAUUCUCUUUUCUCACCGUUUUAUUUCCUUUUUGUGAUUUACCCAAAACUAGUAUUUAUGAUUCUAUUUUGUAAACAACUCUCAUCAAAAGUCAUAUCUAUUAUUUUAUUUACCCAAUAAGAAACCAUAAUUGAGACACCCAAAUAAUUCUACACAAAUCCUAAAAUUUUCAUAACAAUCAGAAUUAGGAUCUGGGCCCCUAAAACUCAGAGGGGGACAAUUCCCAUUCGAUAUUAUCUUAAAAUCUCAUUGUCAAAAUUUAAUUUUAUUAUUCUGUCAACUCAGCAAAGCUACAUGUGUAGAGGGCUACCCUAUAAUAGGUUCGUGUCCCUUACGGACCGUAAAGGAUGAGGCUUACGGUCCGUAAGCAUGUCCAAAAUUCGGGUAUAAAUAGCAGACUUUGGGACUGGAUUCUGGGAUGUGAAACGACGUAAGAACUCACUGUGUAUGUCGAGUUAUAGCAGAAACAAUACAAUUAACACACACGAUUCACAAAUCGCUGCCGCAAUCAGGGUAAUAACUCGAUCGCUAUUACGAUUCAACAUCCGAUCGAUUGUAACUAUCCAACGAUUGUUUGAGUACUGCUCAAAUUGAGUUUAUACUUUGUUAUUCAUCGUGAUUUCGACUUGAAUGUUUGAGUGCUGUCCAAACUCGGACUAUACUCUGUCAUUCGUUGUGAAUCCGCUGAAUUGUUAAGUAUUGCACUUUAUUAAUCGUUGUGAGGGUUUAAUCUCGUGAAUUGUCGUAAAUGCUGUAUUAGUUAUUUACCUAGUUUUGUGUGCAUCAUUUCUUAAAUUAGGUUAUCAGUCUUACCAGUAGACUAAACCUUACCCCAUAUACUUACAAUCAAAGUAGAUGCUAAUUCCCAGAAGAAAUUGAAUCAGGAAGCUUGUUAAAUACUACAUGCUUAUAAUGUAAUUACAAUAGAUUGGAGUAAGGAUUGGAUCCGGCACUGAGGGACUUCAAGAAGUGGCUUAUUUUAUUAAUUGAAUUAUAUUAAGAAAUAUUGUUUUAUAAAAUCAAAUUUAUUUAUAUCAAAGCUACCAUUGUAAAACAUGGGUUUUAUCCCAUACAUUUAAAUAAAAUCCGGUGUUU